AAGGAAACUCACCAAAACUAGUUUGAGGAAAGAGAGAAAUUAAAUGGCGGGGCAGAGGUGAUUUCAUAGUCUCUGUGAGCAAAAGCAUAGGCAGGCCUCAUGGGACCCUGGAAAAAGAACAGAAAUACCUGCAAAUGAAGUUCCACUCUCAUUCUCUUACCGGGGGCCAUUCCUGCAUUGCACCCGCAGAUGUUGCUGCUACUCUGCAAGAAAUUUGUGGGGUUCUAACCUCUGCCUCACCAUGUGUCUGCUUCAGUUUCUUCUUUCUGCCAAGGUGGAAAGUGGCCAUCCCAACUGUACCUUUGCAGGACCCAACGCUGACCAUUGAGAGACUCUGGGUCAACUCCAAGCUGGAAUGAGAAAGAGUUGAGUCGACCUAUCCUCAAGCCCAACCAGAAUCCCUCCAUUCCCGUUUUCCUUCCCUGUUAAUCUCUCUCUUCUUCAUUAAUCUUUUCAUUGCUUCAGUAUGGUAACCCAAACUGGUGGAAAGGGGACAGAAAAUGGCACAAUCAGAAACUGAAGCCACAAAGACCUAACAUCCUAUGGAUGAGAUUAUCCAUCUGCUGGAGAGAUGACUUGAAGUGUACAGCAGAUAAGCUUAGAGGGCCUCUCCAGACCCGUCGCAAAGAUGCAAUCUGAAUGUAAUUUAAGAUAAAUAGUAAUCAUGGAAACACUAUCAUAUUAAUCACAGAAAUAAAUGCAGUCCAUGGGCUCUACGUUUGUGGAUUCAACCAACUGAGAAUUGAAAAUAUCCAGAAAAGAAAAAUGGAUGGUUCUGUCUGGACCAAACAGAAAAAAAUUUGCUCAGCAGCUGCCAGCGAGUCUCAUGAGUUUGAUUAGCCUGAACCAAUCAUCCAGAACUUCAAUGAAUUCACAGAAUUGAGCUCCUGAACCCUCAGAUCUGAAGAUCUUGGUGACCUUGUCAAGGUGCC
rnacentral:lncRNA from 1 species